rnacentral:rRNA from 1 species
CCUACGGGAGGCAGCAGUGAGGAAUAUUGGUCAAUGGACGAGAGUCUGAACCAGCCAAGUAGCGUGAAGGAUGACUGCCCUAUGGGUUGUAAACUUCUUUUAUAUGGGAAUAAAAUGUUCCACGUGUGGGAUUUUGUAUGUACCAUAUGAAUAAGGAUCGGCUAACUCCGUGCCAGCAGCCGCGGUAAUACGGAGGAUCCGAGCGUUAUCCGGAUUUAUUGGGUUUAAAGGGAGCGUAGGUGGAUUGUUAAGUCAGUUGUGAAAGUUGGCGGCUGAACCGUAAAAUUGCAGUUGAAACUGGGAGUCUUGAGUACAGUAGAGGUGGGCGGAAUUCGUGGUGUAGCGGUGAAAUGCUUAGAUAUCACGAAGAACUCCGAUUGCGAAGGCAGCUCACUGGACUGCAACUGACACUGAGGCUCGAAAGUGUGGGUAUCAAACAGGAUUAGAUACCCGUGUAGUC